rnacentral:tRNA from 1 species
GGCCGCAUGGCGCAACGGUAGCGGUAUGUCAUUUCUCCUGAAGGUUAUGUGUUCAAAUCACAUUGUGGUCA